rnacentral:rRNA from 1 species
UACGUAGGGUGCGAGCGUUAAUCGGAAUUACUGGGCGUAAAGCGUGCGCAGGCGGUGAUGUAAGACAGGUGUGAAAUCCCCGGGCUUAACCUGGGAACUGCAUUUGUGACUGCAUCGCUGGAGUGCGGCAGAGGGGGAUGGAAUUCCGCGUGUAGCAGUGAAAUGCGUAGAUAUGUGGAGGAACACCGAUGGCGAAGGCAGCCCCCUGGGCUAACACUGACGCUCAUGCACGAAAGCGUGGGGAGCAAACAGG